rnacentral:rRNA from 1 species
GAGGAAUUUUCCGCAAUGGGCGAAAGCCUGACGGAGCAAUGCCGCGUGGAGGAAGACGGCCCGUGGGUUGUAAACUCCUUUUCUUGGAGAAGAAUAACUGACGGUAUCCAAGGAAUAAGCAUCGGCUAACUCCGUGCCAGCAGCCGCGGUAAUACGGAGGAUGCAAGCGUUAUCCGGAUUCAUUGGGCGUAAAGGGUCCUGAGGUGGCCUGUUUAGUCUACUGUGAAAGCUCAGGGCUUAACCCUGACAAUGCGGUGGAAACUGGCAGGCUAGAAUACGGUAGGGGCAAGGGGAAUUCCCAGUGUAGCGGUGAAAUGCAUAGAUAUUGGGAGGAACACCAAAGGCGAAGGCACCUUGCUGGGCCGCUAUUGACACUGACAGACGAAAGCCAGGGGAGUAACCC